UACGUAGGGGGCUAGCGUUGUCCGGAUUUAUUGGGCGUAAAGAGCGUGUAGGCGGCCAGAUAGGUCUGCUGUGAAAACUCGAGGCUCAACCUCGAGCUGUCGGCGGAAACUAUUUGGCUAGAGUCCGGAAGAGGAGAGUGGAAUUCCUGGUGUAGCGGUGAAAUGCGCAGAUAUCAGGAAGAACACCUAUGGCGAAGGCAGCUCUCUGGGACGGUACUGACGCUGAGACGCGAAAGCGUGGGGAGCGAACAGG
rnacentral:rRNA from 1 species